UACGUAGGGAGCAAGCGUUGUUCGGAUUUACUGGGCGUAAAGCGCACGUAGGCGGAUUGUUAAGUCAGGGGUGAAAUCCCGGAGCUCAACUCCGGAACUGCCUUUGAUACUGGCAAUCUUGAGACUGGAAGAGGUUAGUGGAAUUCCCAGUGUAGAGGUGAAAUUCGUAGAUAUUGGGAAGAACACCAGUGGCGAAGGCGGCUAACUGGUCCAGUAC
rnacentral:rRNA from 1 species